UGGCGGACGGGGUGAGUAAUGUCUAGGAAACUGCCCGAUGGAGGGGGAUAACUACUGGAAACGGUAGCUAAUACCGCAUAAAGUCGCAAGACCAAAGAGGGGGACCUUAGGGCCUCUUGCCAUCGGAUGUGCCCAGAUGGGAUUAGCUAGUAGGUGGGGUAAUGGCUCACCUAGGCGACGAUCCCUAGCUGGUCUGAGAGGAUGACCAGCCACACUGGAACUGAGACACGGUCCAG
rnacentral:rRNA from 1 species